rnacentral:rRNA from 1 species
CAAAAUUUCUCAAUGCGGGAAACCGUGACGAGGGAAUUCCGAGUGCUCAUACAAUGUAUGGGCUUUUCUUAUGUGUAAAAAGCAUGAGGAAUAAGGGCUGGGUAAGACCGGUGCCAGCCGCCGCGGUAAUACCGGCAGCUCUAGUGGUAGCCACUUUUAUUGGGCCUAAAGCGUCCGUAGCCGGUCAGGUAAAUCCUUGGGUAAAUCGUACAGCUUAACUGUGCGGCUUCCGGGGAGACUGCCUGACUUGGGACCGGGAGAGGUUGGAGGUACUCCUGGGGUAGGGGUGAAAUCCUGUAAUCCUAGGUGGACCACCGGUGGCGAAGGCGUCCAACCAGAACGGCUCCGACGGUGAGGGACGAAGGCUAGGGGCGCAAACCGGAUUAGAUACCCGGGUAGUCCUAGCUGUAAACGMUGCAGACUUGGUGUUGGAGAUCCCACGAGGGUGUCCAGUGCCGGAGAGAAGUUGUUAAGUUUGCCGCCUGGGAAGUAUGGCCGCAAGGCUGAAACUUAA